GACGAACGCUGGCGGCGUGCCUAAUACAUGCAAGUCGAGCGGACUGAUUAAGAGCUUGCUCUUAUGACGUUAGCGGCGGACGGGUGAGUAACACGUGGGCAACCUGCCCUGUAGAUCGGGAUAACACCGAGAAAUCGGUGCUAAUACCGGGUAAUAUCUGAGAUCACAUGAUCUUAGGUUAAAAGAUGGCUCCGGCUAUCACUACAGGAUGGGCCCGCGGGGCAUUAGCUAGUUGGUAAGGUAAUGGCUUACCAAGGCGACGAUGCGUAGCCGACCUGAGAGGGUGAUCGGCCACAAUGGGACUGAGACACGGCCCAGACUCCUACGGGAGGCAGCAGUAGGGAAUCUUCCGCAAUGGACGAAAGUCUGACGGAGCAACGCCGCGUGAGUGAUGAAGGGUGUCGGCUCGUAAAGCUCUGUUGUUAGGGAAGAAACAGUACCGAACGAACUAGGUCGGUACCUUGACGGUACCUAACCAGAAAGCCACGGCUAACUACGUGC
rnacentral:rRNA from 1 species